AUAAAUCAACAUUUUGUGCUGACCGUGAGGGACAGAGGCUGACCAAUCUGAUCAAUGAUUGAACAACACCAGUUUGCGUUCCUACGUAUUUUUACUUGUACACGUGAGCUUGCCUCACCGUUAUAGUUCUGACACGGACGUCCGGGU
rnacentral:rRNA from 1 species